rnacentral:lncRNA from 1 species
GGGGAGUGCUCGAAUAUCUGCCACCAGCUUGAGUCAGAACCUCGACUUCCCUCAGCUUUUCAGGGUCUGUUACUGAGUCUGGUCCACACUCCAGGGUCUUUUCCUCACGGUCUGGGUCUGGUCUUUUUCAGGUGCCUACCUUUCCUCCCUGCAAACUGCCUUGAGUUGCCUCCCCUUCUCCCUUCCUUCCUGGUCUGUCAGAGACAUCUUGUCUGGGUGCAUAUUUGAACCCCAUCAGUAGACAGAAAACAUGUAUUUCCUUGAAGGCCCCUCAGACCCCAGGUACAAACAUUGAAGUAAAUAACAGCAGGGAUGGGGGUUCUGCCUCGCUUCACCUGCCAGCCACGUGCAGACCUUGUUUCAGUCCAACUGAGACUUUAGCAAGUGCUUCAUUCUGGUUUGUGAAUGGCUUCCCAGUGUCUGUCACUGUGUUCACAGGGCCACCGGGGUUGGCUGAGUCAGAAUACCAGCCAUGUGGCAUGUCGCAUGGGGCAAGAGCUGUGCUGCCCAUGGGAGUCCAGAGAAGGAGCACACUAAGGACCAACACCAGCUCUGCAGAUGAGCAAUAUCAUCACAACUAACCAAUUGAUCAAUUAUUCAUUCAGUCAUUUAAUGAGAAGCUACUGUGUACCCAUCCUUUCCUUGGCCUUCUGGACAGUUAGACAUGGUGCCUGUCUUCAGAUUGCUCACACACCAGUUGGAGACACAAAAGUUACAUGCAGUAAGCAACAAUCCCUAAAUGCUCAACAGCUCACCAAGCCUGAAUAGAGAGGAAGAGACCUUGGUGUGGCCUGGAAGGAAAGAGCAGCUUUGGGAAGGAG